AUCACUUCUCGGCCUUUUGGCUAAGAUCAAGUGUAGUAUCAGUUUAAUAAAACAUAACUAAGCAAAACCUCAGAGAAACACAUUCAGUAUAAACAAAAUCAGGACAUGAAGAAGGUUUACUAGAUGUGUUUUACAGGUUUGCAGACAUGUUAAGCUUAAGUUUU
rfam:Manacus vitellinus contig44456, whole genome shotgun sequence.